UACAGAGGGUGCAAGCGUUAAUCGGAAUUACUGGGCGUAAAGCGUGCGUAGACGGUUAUUUAAGUCAGGUGUGAAAGCCCGGGCUCAACCUGGGAAUUGCAUUUGAGACUGAAUAGCUAGGGUGCGGAAGAGGGAAGCGGAAUUUCCGGUGUAGCGGUGAAAUGCGUAGAUAUCGGAAGGAACACCAGUGGCGAAAGCGGCUUCCUGGUCCAGCACCGACGUCAGGCACGAAAGCGUGGGGAGCAAACAGG
rnacentral:rRNA from 1 species